CCUCCCUCCUGCUAGUGUUACCUCCGGUGACCCCCCACAGCCUGUUGCCAGAUGGGGACGGGUGACUAGCUUUCCACAAACAGGGACACAGAACAGUCUCCGCCUCCUGCAACUCUCUUCCCCGAGGCCACAUCAAGCCAGGUUUUUCCACCAGCCAAGACCUCAGCCAAGACCUCCUGAGUCUCCCAGAGCAGCCACAACCGCGUCAUCCAUCCCUUCCCAUCCCCUCCCCCACGAACCGGAGGACUGGUCACUCCUUCGCUUUCCCAGGACCUUGUUGUACUCCUCCUGCCCUCUAAGUAGAUAGCUUUCCCAGGAAGCCUGGGUGAACAGAGAAUUCCUCCCCAAAUAGCUGUUAGGCUGAGAGGCCCACUCAAGUUAGGAGAUGUAGCCAGAGCACUGGGGAAAGAGGGGCAGCACCAUCCUACCCUUCCCUGGCCACCAUCACUGCUGAAUUCCCACAAAGUUGAGGAAUGUUUUCCACUCCCAUGACCCCACCCCACAACUAUAAGUCCACAGCCAUCUUGGAAACUUCCCACAUAUUCAGGAGCCCAACAACACCUUGAAGACCAAUAUUCUUCAUUUGGUCUCUGCAUCCUGUAAACACAGGGAUCCCUCAACAUUUUCAGAGGGAAAAAAGUUUCUGUGAAUGAUUUGGACCGAAUAAUUUAUUUUAUUGUGAUAUUGGGAGUAAAUACAGGUAAAUAGAGAUUUUUAUUAAUAAAAAAUGAUGGAAAACAGAA